rnacentral:rRNA from 1 species
GAUGAACGCUGGCGGCGUGCCUAAUACAUGCAAGUCGAGCGAACGGACGAGAAGCUUGCUUCUCUGAUGUUAGCGGCGGACGGGUGAGUAACACGUGGAUAACCUACCUAUAAGACUGGGAUCACUUCGGGAAACCGGAGCUAAUACCGGAUAAUAUUUUGAACCGCAUGGUUCAAAAGUGAAAGACGGUCUUGCUGUCACUUAUAGAUGGAUCCGCGCUGCAUUAGCUAGUUGGUAAGGUAACGGCUUACCAAGGCAACGAUGCAUAGCCGACCUGAGAGGGGGAUCGGCCACACUGGAACGGAGACACGUACCAGACUCCUACGGGAGGCAGCAGUAGCGAAUCUUACGCAAUGGGCGAAAGCCUGACGGAGCAACGCCGAGUGAGUGAUGAAGGUCUUCGGAUCGUAAAACUCUGUUAUUAGGGAAGAACAUAUGUGUAAGGAACUGUGCACAUCGUGACGGUACCUAAUCAGAAAGCCACGGCUAACUACGUG